rfam:TPA: Bos taurus chromosome 7, whole genome shotgun sequence.
UCCCUGGUGGCUCAGCUGGUAAAGGAUCCGCCUGCAAUGUGGGAGACCCUGGUUCUAUCCCUGGGUCAGGGAA